rnacentral:rRNA from 1 species
UAUGAAGGGUGCAAGCGUUACUCGGAAUCACUGGGCGUAAAGCGUGCGUAGGCGGUUCGUUAAGUCUGUUGUGAAAGCCCUGGGCUCAACCUGGGAACUGCAGUGGAUACUGGCGAGCUAGAGUACGGUAGAGGAAGGUGGAAUUCCCGGUGUAGCGGUGAAAUGCGUAGAGAUCGGGAGGAACACCAGUGGCGAAGGCGGCCUUCUGGACCAGUACUGACGCUGAGGCACGAAAGCGUGGGGAGCAAACAGG